UGCAAGUCGAACGCUCACCUUCGGGUGGGAGUGGCAGACGGGUGAGUAACACGUGGGAACGUACCCUUUGGUUCGGGACAACUCUGGGAAACUGGAGCUAAUACCGGAUACGCCCUUUUGGGGAAAGGUUUACUGCCGAAGGAUCGGCCCGCGUCUGAUUAGCUAGUUGGUGGGGUAACGGCCUACCAAGGCGACGAUCAGUAGCUGGUCUGAGAGGAUGAUCAGCCACACUGGGACUGAGACACGGCCCAGACUCCUACGGGAGGCAGCAGUGGGGAAUAUUGGACAAUGGGCGCAAGCCUGAUCCAGCCAUGCCGCGUGAGUGAUGAAGGCCUUAGGGUUGUAAAGCUCUUUUAUCCGGGACGAUAAUGACGGUACCGGAGGAAUAAGCCCCGGCUAACUUCGUGCCAGCAGCCGCGGUAAUACGAAGGGGGCUAGCGUUGCUCGGAAUCACUGGGCGUAAAGGGCGCGUAGGCGGCGUUUUAAGUCGGGGGUGAAAGCCUGUGGCUCAACCACAGAAUGGCCUUCAUACUGGGACGCUUGAGUCUGGUAGAGGUUGGUGGAA
rnacentral:rRNA from 1 species